CCGGCAGAGUUGCUGGCGCCCUAUACCGGUGAUAUCGCCGCCGAAGGCGUCAGUAAAGUCCUGCGCGGCGGCGCGAAGUUCCUGCAGCAAGGUCUGGCUCGCCAACAGCAUUACGUGGCGGAGGCCGUCACCGAAGAGUGGCGACUGGCGCCCGGCGCGCUGGAAUUAGCCUGGUUCGCUGAAGAGACAAUGGCCGUGGAACGCGCCGUUGAAGCGCUGAUGAAGCGGCUGGAAAAACUGGAGGGGAAAUGA
rnacentral:sRNA from 1 species